UAUACAUAAACACACACAUAUACAGAGAGAGAAACAACGGAAGUAUUCAGUAUUUCAAAAGAAAUGUAAACACACGCACACACACACACACACACACACACACACACGCACUUACAUAUACACGCAUAGGCGUGUGCGCGCAAUCUCUGCUACUAUAUAAAUGAGGGCACGAGCUAAAUAUAGUUAGUACAAGUUUAGCUUUUGAGUGCGGAACUUUGCAGUGCAAUUGGAGAUAGAAACCUCGUGUUAUAUACAUCUAGCUACAAAUCUGUUCACAUACUAACAUGCUGGCAUUAUCUGCUGUGAUUUUGUUCAUUUCAUCCACCUUCUUGGCAUCUGUAGAGGCUUCACCCAUACCAGGCCCUGAAUGCAAAGAACCAAACAUCUUACUCCACAACUCGGUCGCCUUCGGGACAGCUAGUGGUGAAGCCGCUGCAGGCAAUGAUGGCGACGGUGAUGACGACGAAGAUUACAAUGACGGGCAUUUAUCAGUUGAAGAUAGAGCCAUAUGCCCUUGGAAAAUAGUUAAGGUUAUAGAUGACAGUCGCUACCCUCGCAUCUUAAAGACAGUCCAUUGCAGAACAAACACAUGGGACAAUGGCACAUGUGUUCCAGUCAUACACAAUUUCACAGUGCUCUAUCGUACAGACAAGUGUAUGAAGUUGUCUGAAACAAAUGAAACUGAAGUGCUAUAUGCUUACAGGCCAGACACCCUUCAACUAGCAGUUGCCUGCACAUCUGUACUUAAUACUUCCACUGUUGACCAGGGCAAUAGUAGUGUUCACAAUAAACUAAUAUCCUCACCUUAAGAGUGAUUCACCAUUUCUUCUGGAUCUGUGUUGGUUGAGAAUGGAAAUACCAGUCCGUUUUUGUGUGUGCAUAUGUAUAUUAAUCAGAGUGUGCAAUAUUAUGUAUCCAUUACGGCCAAUCUUACCAGUCAGUUUUGCACUAGGUGUUCAACAGAGUCUUUGAUAACAGCCUGAUUAUGUAACCCUGCACUCUUCAGAGAUGGCAGUUACAGAAUGAGAUAUGGGCGUAUCUCAUUCCGUAAUAUAUAAAACUGUACACUUCGAUUAAUAUAUCCUCUAUAUUGAUAAAUAUACGAGUACAUAUUUUUUCUGACAUGGAUUCUUAGGUGGUUAUAUAUAUAUAUAUAUAUAUAUAUAUAUAUAUAUAUUGUGUGUGUGUAUGUGUGUGCACGCGGAUAUAUAUAUAUAUAUAUAUAUAUAUAUAUAUAUAUAUAUAUAUAGAUAUGUAUGUAUAGAGAGAUGGAGAGAGGUGUGUGUUUGUAUGUAAUGUAUAUAAAUGUAUGUAUAAACAUUUUACAGCCCAUUUCCAUCAUAAAUAUCUUGUUGAAUCAUACUUUUAAUACUCGUAAUUAAGCAAUGUGUAUAUAUACCAUAGAGAGACCACUCUCAUAGAACACUAUGUAUGGCUAUAAUUAACAUUUGUACAUAGUAUAUCAAACUGCUAGUGUGUAAGGUUGACCAAAAGUCACCCGACAGUAAAUCAAAACCCAUUUAAUUCCAAGAUUAAAACAAAAACUUAUUUUAUACAAGACUUUGCUGAUAAAUAGACAAAUGUUGAAAAAAGAAAAAAAAACCGGUGAUUUUUAACUCAUAACAUUCAAUUAUUAAGCAUUCAUAAUUGGAAUGAAUAAAUAAAAUUGAAUAUUUAGUAUUUGAGGAAUUUUGAUUUACUGUUGGGUGACUUUUGGCCAACCCUGUAUAUAUAUAUAUAUAUAUAUAUAUAUAUAGAUGUAUAUACAUACAUACAAACACUAUUUACAUAUAAACUUUUACAAAACACGUAACACUGUGUAGUAUAAAAUAUACAUUAUAUAAAAUUAUUUAAAAUUAUAAUAUAGGGUAUCUAAGAGAUACCGCCACGCUGAAAAAUAGCAGUCAAAUCUUGACUCUAAACCACUAUAAAUGUUCAUAUAGCACAAAGAGCGAAGACGAAGACAAAAUAAACUAGCUAGUUUUUACUAGUUUAUUUUGUCUUCGUCUUCGCUCUUUGUGCUAUAUGAACAUUUUAAUGUGGUUUAGAGUCAAGAUUUGGCUGCUAUUUUCAGCAUAGCGGUAUCUCUUAGAUACCCCUAUAUUAUAAUUUUAAAUAAUUGUUACCUUUGAUAGUUUUUAUUCCCAUGCUGGCCACUUGAUAAAAUCAAUAUUUUAAAUAUCGAUCUUAUCCUUAUUUAUAUAAAUUUAUAUAUAUAUAUAUAUAUAUUGUGUAUUUUGGUAAAUUGAAUUUUCAAGUCAUAAAUACUGUAUGAAACAGUAAAUAAAAAUGAAAUAAUCUUGUAAAAAUAUAAUAAAAUUGUCUAUUAUUUAUUGA